rnacentral:ncRNA from 1 species
UAAGAGGCGCAAUUUUCAUCAGUAACGGUCGUUUUCGGGAUUAUCGUCCGUGAAAGGGGAACUUGCCGAAGUGUCGUAAUAAACCCGUAAAAAGCGGCGCUGGGGCGGCAGAGAAUAUCUGCCGAACUGUCACAAUUAUGUGGAGCGCUGUCAGA